CCGGGAUAGCUCAGUUGGUAGAGCAGAGGACUGAAAAUCCUCGUGU
rnacentral:tRNA from 5 species